UUCCGGCUCCUGCCGGAAAUUACUCCUCAAAGGAGAUGAUCGAUGCAGGUCCAGGAUUAGACCUACGUUAAGGGGGUGAUGACACCCACAGGUGAACGCCAGCCUGUGGCUCUGUCGUCUAUCUUUAAGGAACGAGAUGAGUGGAUUGGCAAUAUCGAGUGAGCUAGACGUAAAAAGCCCCUUUAACAUGACCGAGGCCAACAUUAC
rfam:Arthrospira platensis NIES-39 DNA, nearly complete genome.